GUCGACCGAGUUCUGAUUAUUGAAAGGUGCUUGCAUCUUGAUUUAAUUUUGAACGAGUGGCGGACGGGUGAGUAACACGUGGGUAACCUGCCCUUAAGUGGGGGAUAACAUUUGGAAACAGAUGCUAAUACCGCAUAAAUCCAAGAACCGCAUGGUUCUUGGCUGAAAGAUGGCGUAAGCUAUCGCUUUUGGAUGGACCCGCGGCGUAUUAGCUAGUUGGUGAGGUAACGGCUCACCAAGGCAAUGAUACGUAGCCGAACUGAGAGGUUGAUCGGCCACAUUGGGACUGAGACACGGCCCAAACUCCUACGGGAGGCAGCACCACGGAAUCUUCCACAAUGGACGCCAGUCUGAUGGACCAACGCCGCGUGAGUGACGAAGGCUUUCGGGUCGUAAAACUCUGUUGUUGGAGAAGAAUGGUCGGCAGAGCAACUGUUGUCGGCGUGACGGUAUCCAACCAGAACGCCACGGCUAACUACGUGCCCGCAGCCGCGGUAAUACCUACGUGGCACGCGUUAUCCGGAUUUAUUGGGCGUAAAGCGAGCGCAGGCGGCCUUUUAAGUCUGAUGUGAAAGCCCUCGGCUUAACCGAGGAAGUGCAUCGGAAACUGGGAAACUUGAGUGCAGAAGAGGACAG
rnacentral:rRNA from 1 species